rnacentral:misc_RNA from 1 species
GUAGGUGAACCUGCGGAAGGAUCAUUAACAAAAUCCUUAUAUACAUUUGUGUUGUAACCCAACAUUUUGUAUAUAUUAACCAUUUGUGAAGAGUCCCUAGACACUUUUUGUAGACCCCUACAGAAUUUGUUUAGGGAAAAUUUUAGUUUUCUAUGGGCCGCCGCCUAUAGAAGCUAAAAACAUUAACCAGAGUAUUUCAUAGAGUUUUACUUUAUAUAACACUAUAUAUAAACAACUUUUAACAAUGGAUCUCUUGGCUCUU